AUUGAACGCUAGCGAGAUGCCUUACACAUGCAAGUCGAACGGCAGCGCGGACUUCGGUCUGGCGGCGAGUGGCGAACGGGUGAGUAAUGUAUCGGAACGUGCCCAGUAGCGGGGGAUAACUACUCGAAAGAGUAGCUAAUACCGCAUACGCCCUCCGGGGGAAAGGGGGGGGAUCGCAAGACCUCUCACUAUUGGAGCGGCCGAUAUCGGAUUAGCUAGUUGGUGAGGUAAAGGCUCACCAAGGCGACGAUCCGUAGCUGGUUUGAGAGGACGACCAGCCACCCUGGGACUGAGACACGGCCCAGACUCCUACGGGAGGCAGCAGUGGGGAAUUUUGGACAAUGGGGGCAACCCUGAUCCAGCCAUUCCGCGUGUGCGAUGAAGGCCUUCGGGUUGUAAAGCACUUUUGGCAGGAAAGAAAUCGCACGGAUUAAUACUCUGUGUGGAUGACGGUACCUGCAGAAUAAGCACCGGCUAACUACGUGCCAGCCGCCGCGGUAA
rnacentral:rRNA from 1 species